UAAACAACAGGUUUGGUCCCGGCCUUUUUAUUAGCUGUCUGCAGGAUUAUACAUGCAAAAAUCUCUACACCGGUGAGAAUGCCCUAUGUACCACACUCAGGUUUAAAGGAGCAGACAUCAAGCACACUGCUAAAGUAGCUCACGACGUCUUGCUUUGCCACACCCCCCACGGGAAACAGCAGUAAUAAAAAUUAAGCAAUAAACGAAAGUUUGACUAAGUUAUGCAGCAAUUAGGGUUGGUAAAUCUCGUGCCAGCCACCGCGGUCAUACGAUUGACCCUAGUUAAUAAACCCCGGCGUAAAAAGUGUUUUGGAAAUAUAAAAAAUAAGGCUAAUCUUUGUCUAAGUUGUAGAAAACUCUAGACAUGGUAGAAAUCAUAAACGAAAGUAGCUUUAAUAAGUCCGACACACGAAAAGCUAAGGCCCAAACUGGGAUUAGAUACCCCACUAUGCUUAGCCAUAAACAUAAAAACUUAUACAACAAAAGAUUUCGCCAGAGAACUACUAGCAAUAGCUUAAAACUCAAAGGACUUGGCGGUGCUUUAUACCCACCUAGAGGAGCCUGUUCUAUAAUCGAUAAACCCCGAUACACCUCACCUCUCCUUGCUAAUUCAGCCUAUAUACCGCCAUCUUCAGCCAACCCCAUUAUGGAAACAAAGUGAGCGCAAGUACACUACAUAAAAACGUUAGGUCAAGGUGUAGCCAAUGGAGUGGGAAGAAAUGGGCUACAUUUUCUUACCCAAGAACAUUAAACGCAAAUCUUUAUGAAAUUCAAAGAUCUAAGGAGGAUUUAGUAGUAAAUUAAGAAUAGAGAGCUUGAUUGAACUAGGCCAUGAAGCACGUACACACCGCCCGUCACCCUCCUCAAGUAUCCAAGGGUUUUGUACAAACUAAUAAAUAUUAGAGGAGACAAGUCGUAACAAGGUAAGCAUACUGGAAAGUGUGCUUGGAAACAAAGUGUA
rnacentral:ncRNA from 1 species